GAGGGUAUAGCUCAAGUGGUAGAGUGCUUGCUUAGCAUGCAUGAGGUCCUGGGUUCAAUCCCUAGUACCUCCU
rnacentral:tRNA from 1 species